GUCUCAGUGGUCGAGUUGGCUAAGAUACUCGCCCUGGAAAGUUAAGAGGUCCCAGGUUCGAAUCCUGGCUGAGAUA
rfam:Acromyrmex echinatior unplaced genomic scaffold scaffold187, whole genome shotgun sequence.